UACGGAGGGGACUAGCGUUGUUCGGAAUUACUGGGCGUAAAGCGCACGUAGGCGGAUUUGUAAGUCAGGGGUGAAAUCCCGGGGCUCAACCUCGGAACUGCCUUUGAUACUGCAAAUCUCGAGUCCGGAGGAGGUGAGUGGAAUUCCUAGUGUAGAGGUGAAAUUCGUAGAUAUUAGGAAGAACACCAGUGGCGAAGGCGGCUCACUGGUCCGGUACUGGCGCUGGGGCGCGAAAGCGUGGGGAGCAAACAGG
rnacentral:rRNA from 1 species